CCCCCCCCUCCUGAAAUUUGGUAUUUCCUUUAGAAUAUGAGAGCAGGAACUCACUGGAAAUCUCGAGAGAGGAAUCUUGGUUAAAGAAACUGCAGCUAAGGACCUCUCUCUUUAGGAGCUUCCAAUCUUUCUACUGUUGGAUUCCAACUAGCUGCUCUACAAGCUCUCUAAGACUGAGUAUGAUUUCCAGAGGAUAUAUCCAUACAAUGUUUUAAGUCCUAAAGUCACAAGACAAAAGCUUUUGGUGCAUUAAACAAAUCCCUGCAGUUUGCUGGGUGAACUUGCUGCUCAGUGAAAAGCUGGGGACACCAGAUUGCCAAGUGGGUGAAGAAAGGUAGAGGGAAAUGGUCUGAGCUGAGGAGUCACAAUCCAGUACUGUAGCCCUGCUGCACCCUCCCUGCCCAGCACUGUUCUUUCAGGCAGGAUUCAAACCUCUGAUACCUUAGUUAUCCUGCCCAAUUACAUGAAAUGAGAUCAGGAAAAAAACCUGUUUACUACAGCAUGUUCUAGUUUUCAGAUCCAAACAGAUUGCUGUACAUUGGGUGUGAAACUCCCUAAUGUUUUAGCAAUUAUGCUGGAAUGUCUCUGACUGACAGCUCUGAGCAAAGCACUUUCUGAGGUUAUGUAAAUGCCUAAAAAGAAAUCUAACCCCAAAUCUGAAUUGUGUAGCAGAUCUGAGGCCUGUGAAUUCUAGGCACUGCCAGAUUUUAAAGCCCUGCUGCUGCCUUACAUAAAUACUCAUAAAUACUUACAGUAAGUGUCCUAAAAAGAUCUUUGGCUGCCCAAGUGAGCUAAAAGAGGUCAUUGCAGGGCUGCCCCAUCUCUACUGGUCACAAGAAUAUGCAAUUUUGCCCAGGGCUGCUUCAGCAAGAGUUGGGAACCUACCCCCCUUCAUAUCCAGCUAGAGCUGCACAUACCAGGGAUCACACCCCAGGGAAAGGAAAGAAGUUAUUUUCAUUUAUGAUGCCCAGUAACAGGGCAAAGAGACCUUUCCUUCUGUGUCUGUGCUCUAGCAUGAUGCCGAAACAAUUUUAAAACGUGUUUAUAUAUUCCACCCGGGUGUUGCAGCCCUUGCCAUGAAUCUCAAAAGUGUAUUUGAGAUUUAUUAGUAUUGGGCUGCUUCUGACACAAGGGAUGUGGGGGACAAAGAGCAGCAGCUUCUGUGCUAUAAGGAAGCACAGAAAAAGCUGUCAGUACACUUGUAAUUUCAUGCUUCUAAAUGUUGUUAUCCAAAUGCCAUUGUACAUGCAACUAUUCUGUGUGCAUUAAAUCUGAGGUGCAGAACCUUAUCUCAUAUUAAAAACCUGAUAGCAGCAUUAUAGUCUCUCUAAUGUUUUUGUGAGAACUCUUGUUAGCUGUUACUGCCUUGCCCUUUGUAUGACUUGGGGCAGAAAACCAAGAGUUUACUGCAUUUUAAAAAUUUCAGAAAGAUGUGCUUAAGUUAAUAGAAGUCUUUAUUUUCAGGUUUUGAAUAGGUAUGUAAAAACAAGGGGAUUGAAUAAUGGCAAAGUUGAUGUGACACAGCUCACUAAAUAAUGGUUAUGAUUAAUUUUGUAGAAUUGUUCAUGAAUAACGGGGAGAAUGUUUUCUGUAUGCGGCAACUUCUAGAACGAGCUGACUCAUUAUUGCAUUUAAGGAGUGGUACCUUGAGUUGUGAUCCGAUGCCUGUUAAAAAUUGCAAUUGAUUUUUUUUGUUGGAGGGAUUGAACCAGGGUCAUAAAGGACUGUGACAUUUUUCAAACAAAAUACCUGUUGUUUCCUUUGCUGCUUAUCUCAGGCUAGGUAAGAAAUCAGCACUAAAUGACAGCAUUACCCACUUCUCCUCUCCUGAAGGGAGUAGAGGAGAGGGACAGAAUACCUGAGCAAAGGGAAAAGACAGGGGAGGAACAAGGCAGGGAGGAAUGACUGAAAAUAGCAGAGGAAAAAAUGAGGAAAACAAAGAGGAAAAGAUGGAGAAAAAAAGCAGAAAGGAAAGCAAAAGGAGAUGAGACAAGGGAAUGGAGAGUAGGGGGGCUUGGGGGCUCCUGUGCCCCAUGGCUGCCCUAAUGAGCUGCUGCUGGUCACAGGCACUGGCUGAUGCUCAUCCACGUUCAGCUGGCCUGAGGUCUACAAGGAGCAUGAGUAAGCACCAGCUCCCAGCUAAAUCUCAGCAGGUUUACUGUUUACCAAACCGUGACAAAAGAUGAAGUCAUGUCCUAUCUGGCCAUACACUGGGCUGUAGGUCUUCUUUCUAUUUUAUUUAUUUUUCUAAGAGGAGAGCUACCUGAUGUUUCUUGAUACUUUCAAAAAGAAAAAAAAACCUCAGUGAUUGUGAUUUAGAGGAGUUAAGUAUUUAAAAUAAAAUAUACGUUCAUAUAAGGUGAUUUCAUAUAGAGAUUCAGUGAUAACCAGAUGACUGAAAUCCAUGCAUCCUCAUCAAAUUCCGAAGAUUAUUUUGUAAGGUGUUUGUGCACUAUCUCUGCCCUCAUUGUGCCCUCUUACAAUUACAGAUGGGGACAGUGAAAACACGUGUUCCAUGCAAUUACUUGCUGCUGCCUUGUAAAAAGCCAAAGCCCAAUAAACUUCAAUAUAGAGUAACUAAUAGCAUCCUUGUGAAAGAGCAACCUGAGGAGUUUUGCCCUACUACUGAUAGUAAAAGCAGACCUGUCAAUGAGAUACAGCCUUCAUAAAAGGCUAGGUAAAGAUAAGAUUUGAAAGAGUUUGGCAUAGCAUUUCCAAUCAAUUGAGAAUUAAUUCUGGACUUGGGUUGGCAAGAGUUAAGAGCAUAUCUUCUGUAAAUUUUUAUUUUGUGUUUUGGAGAGAUCAGUAUACUUGUUCUCUGGUAAUCAGAAACAUCACCUAUCCUCACACUAAGAAAGAGAUCUGAUAAAUACUCUGAUCACAAUUUGUGCUUUGCUUUCUUCAUCAUCAAUGCCAUUUUAAAAUAAUAUUUAAGAGGAGGUCCAUACGUUCCUCUCUGAGCAGGAAUAACACAUCAGGUCUGAGCAGGCAGAGUUAGCGCCCUAGACACGGUGCUUUGUACAAACCAAAGAAUAAGAAGAAUAUUCCAGGAAAGCCAUAAAGAGAGAUGAUGCAGUAGCUGUUUCUGGGAUGUUAAAAAUACUGUUGUGCUUCCAAGUUGCUGCGUGAGCCUGACUGCAGUGUCUGGCUCGGGGUGACUCUGUGGAUGGCACUUUCACAGAUAUCAGCAAUGCAGAGUAGUCUCAAGCACGUCCUGGAACUUUAACAUGUGAUGAGGCCAGAAGGUAGCUUGGUGCAGUGAUAAUGAUUUAUUUAAUGCAACUAAUGUACGUAAAGAUGCAUCUGAGACAGUGUGAGGUCUGCCAAGAGCACUUUCUUGGACACCACAGUGAUCAAUCCAGCUGCAGGCUGAUGGCUUGAGUACAGGUCUGUGGGAUCAAGCUACUCAUUUUUAGUGGGUUUGAGCUGUUCUUAAAUAAACUUUCAUUAGUUAGGGUGGCACCACUAAGUCUACUUCCUACUGAGCAAUAGGAAGACAGAAAGAGCAUCUACUACAAUAAUAGUUUAACACAAAUUGAUUUAAUAUCUGGAAUAAUAGGAAGUGUACAGAACUUGGAUGAAGGAUGAAAGAGGUGUGCAGAAAGAGGUGGAAACACAGGAAGAAAGCCCAGCUGGCUGCAGACAAAGGAGAAAUGUGGCUUCUCUGUUUUCUUCUAUCAGCUGAAGCACACCAUGUUGCACACAGGAGCAGGGAAUGCUUGUGGCACGCCUAUGAAGCCAUUCUUGACUUUGUGACCUGUUUAGUGACAGGUGAACAGCCCGUGGCUGAAGUGGGUGUGCUGCGUUUCACACCCUUGCAAUGUCUCACUCCACAACUGGGAGCCACUGCAGGGUCCUGCAGGCUGUGGUUUACUGAAUGGUCUGCUAAGGGGCUUAAUUGCGGUCUCAAAUUCCCAAAGGUUUUUCUAGUCUGUCUAAAAUAUUUAUGCCUGCAACAAUUCAGACCUGUUUAUGUCUCUUUUUCUGCCUGCUGGGUAAAAAGUAGUUUGGCUUUUACAAUGUGUCUGUAUACAGGGUUUUAGUAGCUUGGAUUGCUUUUAUAUGUUUAUAAUGAAAGUAACAGCCCCUUAAAAAUUGGAUUAUUGAUCAUGGGAAGACAGUAGAUAUUUUUAAUCUUAGAAACAAGACUACAAAUAAAUCAAAUUAUAUGAAGUAUUUUAUUUAAAGGCACUUGAUUUUAUUAAAACUGCUACAUCUGAUGUUUGCAUAAAUGGAAUAAAUCUGUUUCCUCCUAUGAGGGUUCAGAGGAAACUAUGGUAGGAGUUAGUUGUUCUCACUCAGUAAAGUGCACUGAUGUCAGUAAGCCAAAAUUAGACUCUUCCCAAAUUGCAAAAGAACACUGAAAGAUUAAAACGUAAGGAUUUGGAUGGCUGUAAACUCCCAUUUCAGUUGAUAAAUUAUCUGCAGGAGUUGUGAUCUUUUUGCAUAGAUUCACAUGGUGGACUGAAAAUGUCGGAUACCAUCACGUGCACCUAUACAUACGCCCGUGAUAUGUAGUUGAGCAUGUAUGUGUAUCUCAAACCUAAAUGCCUACACAUAUAUUGCACUGUCAUGAAGCACCAAAGGCUGCCUUUGGCUCUGCAGUCUGUGCCGUUUCUGUGGAUGUCCUGUCCCACCAGUGCCCAUAGCAGUCUCUGACUGUCCUGCUUGGAAUGUGGCUCUUCCCACCCUAGUGAUGAACUGCAUCACAAGCACCCUCCCUCUCCUUGUUAUGACCAGGUGUCUGAAUCUGGGGAUUUGUUUGCAUGUUCCAACUGUUUGCUAUGCCAGAUUUGACCACAGAAAUGUGAGUCCAGUGGGCUGAGCCUCAUGAGGCAGAGCAGAACAGCAUUUAGCCUGGAGUUUGCACCUUCCACCAUUUCCAGGGGUGAGGCAGAAAACUGAUUUCUCCCUAGGAGAAAUCAACCAAAGAGGAGCUGUGCAUUCAAGCAGGUGGGACUGUGUAAAUGCCAAUGGUCUUUGUCAUUAACCAGCUCCUUUCAAGCUGGCUGAGGAGGUGACGGGAUCUGUUGAUUAAAUCUCAUGCCUUCAAAAGGCAGGAACAAAAUCACCAUUGUCAUGUUUUGGCAAAGUAAAAUGUUUUUGUUUGCUGGCAAGGGUUUAACUCGCGUGCAGCCGUGCUGCCCUCUUAGGAUGUGAAAGAAAAAGGCUUUGCAACUCAAAUGCUACCUGCUUCACCAGCCCAUCUUACCCCAGUGAUGAAGUGUUCCAGCACCAGAAGUCACCUUCUGUGUUCAGCUGAGCUCAACUGGAAUUGUGUUCUCUGGCUGUGCUGUUAAGCGGCUCUGAAGAUGGUACAGGUGCAGAGCUGUGCUGCUGUAUUUCAAGUGCUCAUAAAAACUCACUGGACGAAUUGAAAAAGGGUGGCUUUUCAUUGUAGCAAGUUUGGACUGUAUAAGCAACUCCAUCAUUGUGCUAAGGCAGCAGAUGCAGUUUGGAGGAAAUGGUUCAUGACCUGAUGAUGCUUUCCAAGAGAUUCAACAAGGAAAAAAAGAUGCCGGGGGCUCCUCGUGUCAGAGUAACACUGACGGGACAGGCAAGGGAAGCAGAAGUAUCAGACAGUGGGAGAGAAUGAACAGAAAGGUGUAAUGCAAGCAGAAAUCCCCUUUGCCAUGGUUCAGGAGAUGUGGGAGAAAAGGCAAUAGCUUCAGGAAAAGCUCUUUCCUGAAGACCAGCAGAGCAUGCCAGGAGGGUGCUGCAACCACUGUCUCUGCAGCUAAAGAGAGGAGCAAAGCCACAGUCUGAUGGGGUUGGGCUGCAGGGGUCAGAUUCAAAAUCUGGAUUUCACUGAGAGCUGGAUCUGAUGGGUCCCCAGAACCAGGGAAGGCCCUCGGGCCCUCUCCCCACAUGGGGAUUCACAAGCAGCUGGGAUAGGGCACUGUUGGAUGCUGGGGUGGACACUCCCCACAAACAUCACAUCAAAACUGCUGCUUAGCCAAGAAAUGUGGAUGGGCUGUUAGCAGAGUGUUUCAGCCCCUGGGCAGCUAGCCCUGGGGAUACAUGGGCAUUGGUGUCCUGAGUGUGAGCUGAGACCUGUGCAGGGCCAGGGCAGAGGACCAGGAUGCUCCACAGGGAACAGACGGCGAGGACGGGUAGCUGUGAGUCUUGGCAAAAGCUAAGCUGGUCUUGCAUAAAAGCUAAAAGUGUGUCCCUUACCUUGGCUUUGUGACCACUUUGACAGAGGUUCCAGGUGUGGGUCAGAGCUGGCUCCUGGCUGCCCCUGCACAGGGCACUUGCUGGGCAGGAAGGGCGUACAGACAUGGAGCCUUCCCCUCUCAGGGCUUGGCUCAUGCUGCCAUCACUUCGGUGACUCACUGGGAGCCCCUUGGGCAGAGGCGGACACAGCCUCUGCUCCCUGCUGAGCCAUUCCUACAGAGGGCAGGGCUGGGCAGCCAGGCUGGGGCCAUGGCUGCUCCCUGGAAGGAGGAGAGACAGACCAGAGAGGGGAGGAGUGUGGACUGGGAGAAGGGAGCAGGAUAAGCCAACUCCUUGAGGCAGGGGCUGAGGUUGAUAUGCUGCUGUGGUGAGCUGCAUUACCUGACAGGACUUGCCCCAUGCUGGGGGUAGAUCAUCUUUCCUUUGACUCAAGAGGCUUGGGGGUGGGUUUGCUGGCCCAUAAACCAGUCACUGCUGUGCUGGAUCUUUACAUGGCCAGUCAUGGGAUGUUCUGCUACCCUGUGAUCUGCAAUUUCUAUUUUAUAAUUUACAUGAACUCAGGCUCUUGCUGUCUUUGGGGAAUUUCACCUAAGUAAGAGCUGGGCAAAUUUACCUUUAUUCAAAUCAUAAGCACAAGCACUUUGGACAUAAUUUUUUGCUGUAUUGCUUAGUAUAGGUCCUAUUUAAAGAAGUUAAUAAGGCUGGCAGCUCAGCUCCAUUGACUCUCAGCAGAACACCUCUCAUUCCUAAGGUCCCUUUCAUCACCACUUAUAUUAGCACCAUUUGGUAGCAUCCUGCUUUUCUCUUUAGUAUUACCAUGCAGUGUGCUUUCUUUUGUAGUACUUACAGCUUGUGAGAUAACUCAGUUUGCCUCCCAAUGGGGGGAAGGUAUCUGUAAUCUGUGUUUCGUGUCUUCAGUCUCUUGAAAGGACUAGAAAUCCCAAAUGCAGUAACUUGUGGGUUUUCUGUCUUAGAGAAUUAGGAUGUCUUUGCAUUACUGAGCAGGCAAACAGUGAGCAGUGCUUGAUCAAUAAGAGGCAUUGCCAGAGGUCUGCUAUAGUCUACCACAGCUGACGGUAAGUGUUGCUAUAGGCUAUGGAACUAGGAAUAUAAAAUGUCAAAUGACAGUAAUAAUUCAUGCAUCCUGGGACAUAUAAAACCAACAGCAUGUCAAUAGCUGUGGCAUGCUCUGCAGAAAAUAUGCAGGAUUUAGACGUUGCAGGAGUCUGUUUUAUUUUAAACCACACUUUCCUUGGUGAAAUAUAGACUUUCCCUGUUUGUUAAAAGCAUUUAUUUUCAGUUUCAUGUUGCUACUUUUCUAUUAACAUUCUAAGUGCCACACAGCUCAAAAGGGGCCUUGAGAUUCAAAAAGCAAAAUAUAUGUAUUUACUGAAGGAAACUACAUAAAAUAUUUAUAAAACAGAGGGUGCAAUACUAUUUGAGAUUCAUGGACCAUUUCAGCAUUCAUAAAAGCAAAUAUGGUUCUCAUGUUGGCUUCACCUGGAAUCAGACUUUACUAGAGAGGUUACCCAGGAGGGACCUGCCUUAAAAUGAAACUUACUGCAAUCAUUAAUUUUACAUGGACAAUCAUUACAUUUUACAUGGAAAGCAGAAUGUCUUGUGAUUGCAACAGAACUUCUCCAAUAUUCAUCUUCUUUAAAAAUACUUCAGGAUAAUUAAUACUGCUUUUCUUUUAUGAAAAGAUACAAAGAGGGUGAAUUACUGCAUCUGGGAGGGCACAGCAGGCAUAAGAAAAAUAUUGUUUGUAUCUGAUACUUGUUUUCCCUCUGUGCCCCUGCUGCUUGGGAACCUAAAGGUGAUGGGUGCUGUUUUACUGGCUAAGGCCCCCACAAAAAUUCUUCAGAUGAAACUUUAAUGAGAGAAGUGUAAAAAUAUAUUUGAGCAGCCCCAUUCUUAUGCUUUCAGCUGUUUGCUCCUGUGUACUUCAGCUGUGGGUUGUCAGGCUUCAAUUUCUCUAAAUCUGCAUAAAAGUAGUAGAGCAGGACAGAAAAGUUGCAUGUCACUCAUGAUUACAUGAAUAUAGGGCUUAAUGUACAGGUAAUACUUCAAAAAGAAUGUAACAUAUUAACUGAAAAAAGACAGAAGGAAAAGAAUCACUAAGAAAUCCACUAUGCACUAUUUAAAUCACCCCCUGUGAGAGGCUGAGGAUUCAAACACAGAGUUGUCUGCUCUUCCAUGUGACAGCAAUCCCUCUGCUUCAGAGAUGUAGGUCCUGGCUCUCAGUUGCCUACUUGAGAUUUUUUUAAAAGUUGUAUAUUCACAAAAUGUCUUAAAUAAAAUUUCCAUUAUUUGAAGACCAUAAAGUGAUUUUGGUGCAGUGGACUGUUCCUAUAUAGACGGGCACUAAGAGAUAUUUUGGCACAUCUUGCUGAAGCUAGCUUGAAACAGACAUGAUUACAAUAAAUAAAAAGCAAAAUUAAUCCUGCUAACUGUCUGAGACCUAAGAAAAGGGAUGUCUUUGUUCUGAUGAGAACAUCUUGGCUCGUUCUGCUCCUUUGGCUUGGUUUGGGGAGGAUGUAUUUUACAGUCCUCCCAUGAUACUUGGCAAAUAUAAAGCUGUCACAUUGGAUCCUGCUUCUCUUUGUAUUAAAAGAAUGUCUAUGGUGUUUAUAUUAUGGGAAAAAAGCGCUAUUUCUACUUAUUGUAUUUUCAUUGUCUCUUUUCUUAUGAUUGUACUGUUUGCCAGCAGCCAAGGGGCCACUUUGAUGCUUGCUUUGAUGCCAUGGUUUAUUGUGUUGCACAGUUGAGCCUACGGUUUUCCUUUCAAAUUUGAGCUGGCAUACUGGGUGAAAAAAAAACCAAACCAAAAAUAAAACUUUUCUAUAAUUAUGGUUAUCUCAUGAAGUCUGCAUUUGUUACAGCUGCUGGGGUGUUGGAAGUCAGUGUUUGUAAAUACCUAUAUAUUCUGAUUUGUUUUCAGCCUCAGAGAUGUUUUUGUGUCUGUAUUCCUCACCCCUGGCCACUCAUGCAAGCAGCCUUGCCUACCUGCACUGCCUCGGGAAGAUACCAGCCUGUCACCCAGCUUAUCUGCAUGGUGCAACUUCACCUUGUUCCCUCCUCUCACUCUGAGGGAUUAGCAUCCAAAGAAAACCAAAUUAGUCUUGUAUCCAUUCACCCAGGAGAGCGAGUAGCCGAAGGGAGCAGAGCAUUGCUGCAGGCAGAGCUGAGUGCAGAGGCUGGCAGGGUGUUCUGGGUGUGCUGCCCAGCUCCACCACUGCUCCAGCUGCUCUCAGAGCUCCCUGGUGACACCCUGGGUCCUGCCGUGGGGAACCAGACUCCUGCACCCACAGGAAGCCCCAGUUGCUGGCUCUGUGCUCCCUGUGGCAGUGCCAGCUAGGAUGUGUAUAAUGCCCACUUGGAUGUGCCUGUUGCUUUCCUCCACAUGUCUUGUGGCCGUCUGUGAACUGAUGAGGAACCGUUCUCUUUCCAUUUUGCUGAUGGAAAAGGAGAGGCUUUGAGAGGCUGAGUGAUUUGUCCAGGAUUAUGCAGCACAUCAAUGGGAGAAAAGGGGAUCAGACCAUUCCACACAGGAGUGCCUUUAACUGUCCCAUGGGCUUUCUAGGGAAAGGCAUGCAGGUCCCCAAAGAGCCUGCUUCCAGGAGUGUUCCUCCAUUAUUUCUGUCAGAUUAUUGCUGUGAACAGUGGAGAAAUGCAAAAUGUAUUAUUCAUUUCUGCUACUCCUAAAAUCAAUACCUAUCAAAAUACAAAUACAAUUUAAAUCAAAGGGCACUUAUUGAGUGCAGAUCCUACUAAUUAGGUAUGAUUUCCCAACAAUUUCUUAAAUUAUUUAUCCAAGGGAUGGGUGCAAGGCACUUUAUAUGUCCCAGAGUGAAUAUUAUAAACAUCUUGUCAUGAUACAGAAAAUGUGAAAUGUAGUGCAAUGCAGUGUGAUUUGUAACCUUGAUGAACUAAUGUAAUAUCAAUAUACAUCAAUCUGUGCAAAAAAAAAAUCUGUCUCAUCAUAACAUCUAACAAGAUAUGUCGAAAGUCAAUAACCUUGUGAAAUGGACACGUAUCAGUGAAGGUUAGAGACUUUGCUGCUAGGAAUCAAUUAAAAAUGUAAUACCCGCUUGCAAUGGAAAUUACUACACCAUCACCAAAAAGGAGGUUUACAUCAUGCAUGGACAUUUGUCAUAAGGGCAGCUCCCUUCAGGCUGGCUGUUGGCUCUGUAAGCAAUUCCACUGUAAUAUAUGGCUUCUUUAUUUUUUUUCUUAUGCUGGUAUGGCUUAUUUUAGACCCAUAAUCAGCAUGCAAAAAAUAUUUAUGCCAUAUCCAGUUAAAUAAACUUUUUAAACCUGUACAGAAAAGAGCCAAUGAUUUUGAAGAUUUUUGUGUACAAAUUAGAAAGCAGCUCUCCUGUAAAAUGAAAGAUUUACAAUUGUUAGUCAAUAAUGUAGAUCAAUGUUCUUCAAUUUUUAAUCAUAAGGAUUUUUCUCAUGCAGCUUCUUUGGAUCUUAAUUUUCAAACUGAUACUACCAUCCAGACAGCGGAUCUUAAGGUUCCAUCACACCAACCAACCGCUGAAAAUUCUUGGUCCCAUCAUACAGAUUUGAUACCCGCUCACCAAAUGCUUUCAAAUCAGUGAUUUGAAAGAAGAGUUUGAAAUAUUAUACAUCAAUUUUUGAAAAUGAUUGGUAAAACAUUCACUUCUUACGCAUUUUACUUUGCCCUUGUCAUCUGAUAAUAAUUUCAGGCUGUAACUUUGAGGCCAAAACUAUGGCUUCAAAGACCACUGGUAUGUGAGGGGCUGAAGUAAAACUAUCAGAGUAAUUCAGAGAUUAUCUUGGUGCUUUCUUCUGCAGCCUUAAUGGUGAUCAGCUCCCAGGAAAGCCAUCAGGAGCCUGAGCAAAGAGCUGUAGGGGUCCAAAGUGCCUGUGUGGCUCAGCUGCUGCAGGCAGCUGCGAUUGCACCGCAGCCGCCGCAGUGCUUAAGUGCAAUUGUGCAACUGGGGAUGCAAGGCAGAGCCAUCAUUCAGAAUUUCAUGGCAUUUUAAAGCUCAACUCAGAAUUUUAAUGGCAUUUCCACCUUCCUCAUUAGCUGCACAAUAAGUGUCUUUCAGCCAGUGCUCUGCAAAUUCCUUUCUGGUGGUCUGCAAAAGACACGGUUUGAAAGUCAGUGAAUGCUGGGUGUGUGGAAAUGGAUCUUGGACUGAUGGGAAGAAUAAGGGAUUCUGAAAAAUCGCUGCAAUAAGAUAACAUGGGAUAAUAAGGGUAGUAACAAAAAGUUUGAAAAAGCAUGCCAUGAGUAAAUUGGAAAUAUAGGAUAAGUUCAACUUCAGUUAUUCAGCUAUCCUGCUUGUAUUUUUGUUGGCUUUAAUUAAAGGAAGUUUGGCAGGUAUGAAAAAAGUUCAAUCUCAGUGUUUGAAUUAGAGUUCCUAGCUGCAUCAAGUGAAAACAGGCAAUACUGUAUUUAAUGUUUUGCAUUUUCUCAUUCCAUUUCAAUGUGAAUGAGCUAUCUGCAAGGAAUAUCAAGCAUUGCAGAUAUUGUUUAGUGAUAUAUUCUUCUUUAUCAUCAUUCCUUUCUUCUGUCUAAUGAGUUUCAUAUGUGCUUAAAAAGUGUGUGAUUGUACACAUGAUUGUAUAUUAGUGACUGCAAAGGUUACCUAAAUUCAGACCAUGGACUAAUUUUAUUUUAAGUGCUGUGUAGAAGCACAUCUGUUACAAACAGGUUUGUGAAAUGAGUUUUGUGAGUUCAAAUCACAUAGAGUAAUGACCACUUAAGUGAGCUCCCACACACAACUUAUUUGCAACAGUACUAACAAAUGCAUCUCUAAAAUGUCACUAGCAUUUUGGUGUUCUGAAAUAGGCUCAUCCUCUGUGUUGCCCUGUAAAAUUCAGCUCUCUGUUAUUGUGUAGGGGAUACUAAAGAAAAGCAUGUGUUCUACCUCAAGGAGGAUGUGUUAUCGACUGUAUAACUGUAAUCAAUAGAUAUUUUGUGUUUUGCUUGGGUGUCCCUUUGAGAGAAGCAUAACUUUUUUUUUUUGAGUUGUGACUAACACUGUUUUCUAGCCAUGAAAUGUUAUAUAAGAUUAUGAAUAUAAUUGAGGUAAUAAAACCAAAGCAAACAGUCUAGAUUAUAUCUCUGGAUUAUAUCCAUAGGUUAGAAGUGUGUGGUUUUGCUGUAUAUCACAAGAUUUCAGAAGGGUGUAGCUUGGAAAUGAUCACAUGGAAGACACCAGCUGAGGGGCUGCACCUUACCUUUGAGCCUACAUCAAAGAGCUCACUUAGCCUUUUUCCACAGCUGUCCUUUGCAAAGAUAAAGGUGUGUACAGCCUGCAGGUAUCUACAGUGGGCAAACUGAAAGUAAACAAAUAGAAAUAUGUUCAUUUGACAAAUUUCUACUGUAAAUGAUUUUGCCUUAAACUGUGGAAGGAUCAAAGAGAAGCUUUGCAGAACAGCUUCUCCAUCAUGGAGCUGGGGUGGCAGAGAAUUGCAGCAGUGCUGCCUGGCCUCUGCUGAGGUGCAAUCUGUCCUGCACCUGUCCUGUGAGGCAGGAAAGUGCUGUAAUAUUUAAUUUUCAAAGAGAGAGAGAGAUAAGACAUGGACAGAAACCACGGGACUUGUCUGCACACCAAAGGGACUGCUGCAAAAGCUGAGGGGUUGAAAGAAGCUGGGUGGAGGCCACAGCUAAUAACCUAAACCAUUAGACCAUCCUCACAAAAUCUGUGUUGCCAAGUCUGUUGCCACUGAAAUCUGAAAUCAAACAUUAGCAGCCAAGAACAUCAUGCUAAUUAAUUGCCUCAGGAGGACACAAUUUCCAAGAUGUAAUGAAAGAUGGAAUCCAGCUCCCAUAUGUCCCAUUUGAUAGCCCAAGAAAACACGCACACAUUUUUCAAAGAAACAGUGACAAAUGUCCAAGUACUUGUCUCUCAGCUGAAUAAAACUAAUCACCAGGCCCGGGGAUAGAAAUGGCUGCUCAUCAGCACCCAGCCUGAAAAAGCCAGCCCAGGAUAUGUCACUGAUGAACCAUUUUCAUUCAGCAUGUUGAAGGCAGCUUCAGAAGGUGACAGCUGAGCACCAGAAGACCUCUGUUCUGCCCACAGAAUGGCAUCACUCCUGCCUUGCAUGCAGCUACCUUGUCACAGUGCUGGUUUAUUAAAAAAAAAAUAAUUAGGAACAAAAAAAAGUUAGCAUGUCACAUUCUUGCAAAAUACUGGGGAGAAGACAGAGGGAUCAGUGUAGUCACAGAUAGGUGCCAGGGUGCCUUGCAGUGCUAUAGGCUUGUCCUUGCUUGAACUUGACAUUCCUGUAGAUGGGAUGUUAGUGCCAGAAUGACAGUGGCGCACAGCCCCAGGGAACAGUGAGGGCUGGAGAGGCUCGGCCCUCCCGGGAGAGGCAGGGCUGUCUGCUGUGGAAGCAGAGCCCCACUGUGAAUGGGAAUGUCCUGUCUCUGUGGCUCUAAGGCAUAUGGAGCUGUUCAGCCAGCUUAAAGACAAAGUUUCUUUUAAAUAUGCAUGAGGAUGUCUAUGCUGUGUAAAUACCCUAUGCUGUAUCACAGCCUGCCAUUUUCCAGGGAGGUGCAGGAGUUAUCCCCCUGCUUGGGGAAGCUCCUGCUCCCACUCUGCUUUGCUGGUGUGAGGUGUUUCAGGCCAUUCUCAGGUUUGCUUGGAUAGAGUUGAAUGAUCAGCUUGUUGUAGCAGACAUGCCAUGAGGCAUGAACAUCUUCUGCUGGCCACAGCAACAGCCCCAGCCUGGCUCCUAUGCUCACAGGAUGUAGGGAAUGUCUUGGUGCCCAGGGAGCAGGCUGGGGGCCCAGGGCAAGCAGGGAAGGAACAGAAUAGAGCAGGGCUGUGACAGCAUUGGUGUCUGAGCCAGGAUUUCCACACAAACAUCAUUAGUAUUUGCUAAGUGAUCAACUCUUGUAAACAUACAAAAUUUUCACCUUCCUCUUUCACCUUUUACGUAUGAUUCAUGGGAAACUUCUAAUCUAAAAAGAGUAUCUUGACACCCUGCUUAAUAAAAAUGGGCAUGAGGAAAGCAGGUACAAAUUUCACAUCAAAUUUUCACUGUAAAUAUUGAAGAAAAUGGAUUUUAUUCUGUCUAUCCUGAGGAGAUUAAAGAGGGAAAAAAAGAAAAGGAAGGUCAAGGUAAGUAAUUGUAGCACACCAUCUAUUGUGUAUUUCCUCAAGGUCACUCCUGUUGUACAGAAUAAUGGCAUUUCUGAACUUCAAUAACUUCCACCCAGAAAGGCACAGCAUUUUGACAGGACUCAUUAAAUCAUUUAAAAUCAUAAGGGCAAUUAUGCAGACUGUGUGAUAAAGUUAGAGGCGGGGUAUUUUUCUGCAAUUGGUCUUCAAUUUCACUCUAGAUUUUAGGUGACAUAAAGCUCAAAAGGAGCUCCUAGUGCUACUCUCCCAGAGAUGAGAUCAACAUUUAUGAGUACAUGUUUUGAUGACACAGCUCAGAAAAUUGAAGGGAUUAUUAUUAUGGAAGGACCAAGGUGAUAAGUACUGUGUUAUAUAUGAAUAACUGUCAGUCAGACAAGCCAAGAAAGGUCAUAAUCCAUUAUAUUAAUGUCAUAAAUGUUAUCAUAAACUGACAUCAGAAUGGUAAACUGGGAUUCUUGCACUUUUUAAAGUGCUGAUGUUCAUAAAUGACACUGUUCUGGAAAGACAUGUUGAUAUUAAUUUUUCUUUCAAAAUAAAAGACUAAAGAUUUUCAGCAAAACAGAAGUAGUAUUUUAAAUAUUUGUUUGGGGUUUUAAAUUUUUUUUAAAGAAACUGACUGAAUUGUCACAACAGCAUCCAAGAUACCAUGGACAGAUGAGAGGGGAAAGACACAAUAAUUUCUGAAUGUUUACUGUCCCCCUUUGCUUUAUUUGAACUCUAACACUCACACUUCACUCAGACACCCUCUGGAGCCUCUCCAGCUGAGGAUAAGAGAAGCAGGAAGGCAGAGGUGGAAGUUCCUGGCCCAGCUGCUGACCACCCCAAGUGAGAACUGCACCUGUCUGUAAUUCACUCCCCUGACAUUAAUAUUUUUCCCAACAUCAAAUAUGAACUGGGGUAGUACUCAGAAAUGUAUGACAGUGGAAAAAAACAGUGGAAAUCAUACUUUAUGGUUUUUUUGUGUUGCUGAGCAUUUUGAUACCCACAGAGAGCAGGCAGCUCAAUGGAUUUUACCAGAGCAUGGCUCCUCUGAACUCACCCCAGGCUCCCAGAGGAAGAUCAGGGAUUCAAAUGAGAUUUCUUCUUGCUAGCACCACGAAGUGCUCCAUCCAUUCCUGACCAGUUAUGAGCCAGCAGUAAAUCACUGUCACUUAUGUCAAUCUGUUCCCACCACAGGCUCCCAAGGGAGAGUGAGGGAGGUAAACUCUGAUCCCAUGCAAAACCAAAGCCUUUGCCUCCACACUGACAAAUAUUGCAAAUUCUAUCUAACGCUGAAAUGUGGGUGUAUUGGGGGUGAAACAACUACCUAGUUAACACUGGACCGCUUGUUUCCAGCUUUGGGGGGGAGUGGUAUGGUAAACUCCAGAAAUGCAAGAGGAAUUUAAGGUGAGUUUUUACAUCCCGCACAGAAGCCAAAAGAGAAAAGCAGGGUAAGUACUUCUGGAAAGUGCCAAGCUGUAUUUACUGACCACAUGAGAUCAGAGCUAUGGUUUUAUGUCAGAACUUAGAAUUGAACGUGUCCAGCAGCCUCCUGCUGAUGUGUGGCUUUGAUAACACUGACGUGGGCAGGAGACAGCCACCAGUGAGUCACUGCACCACUUCCUGCAGGAGCUGCCUGUCUACAGCGGGCAUCCCAUUGCACUGCUGAGCAAGUGUGCCUUGCAAAAAUCACCCUAAAAAUCUAGUCUGGCUCGUACAGUCUACAAAUAAGCCAUGUUUGUUCCAUGCAGGUAAAAUGUUCAGGGUGAAAUGAAUGUGGGCUAACUUGAAUUGUAUAAAUAACUGCAAAUCAUUACUUCAAAUGAGAGCAUAAUGUCUGGAACCACAGGCAGGAAAAUACAUUUACAGACUAUCAAAUUAUCUUGGGAUAAUAGCGUAAUGCUUUUCACUGCUGUACUUUGUGUUCUUAUAGCAAAGAAUACUACAGCUGGAAAAGGCUCAGAAUUUCAAAGAGAAGAGAUUUCAUAAAGUAGAGUGCUUCCACAGAAGAGACUGCCUUUUCUGUGUUAUUUUAGGGGAACAUUAAAAACCCCCAGCAAACAAAAAAAGUUAUUUUUUAUGACCUGGAACUACACAGAAUAACAUCUGAUGAUAAACAAAAGCUUUAGACAAUUUGUCUAUUUUAUAAUAUAACCUGCAAAGUGCUUGCUUGUUCAUACGAGCUUACUUAUCUCUGUGAUUGCAACAAAAUGCUUUUGAUCAAGUGUGUUUUCAGAACUGGCACAACCAAAUCAAGUAGCUAAGCUGCUACAGCAGUUUGCAUGCACAAGUGCUGUUUGAAUAUAGAAUUUUUUGAGCACGUUUUUAGAGAAAACAGAGUGCCCUUUGAAAUCUUGGACCUAAAGCUAUAUAAAUGCCCUAAUGCUGUUUAUGAUGUCUGUAGAAGUGUAUGACACUCAAAGUGCUUUUAGGAUGCUCCAAAGUAUAUCAGAGAGCAUUAACCUCAGCACAGCUGGGAAUGUCCCCAGACUCACUCAUGAAUGCAUGUUUCUUAUAUCCUGUAUAUUAACUAUAGCUACAUACAAGGCCACACUUAAUAUAGACUUGCUCAUUGAGAAUAAUCCACAGAGUAAGCCUAUUAGGUAAGGUUUAGCAUCUACAUUUUUCUGCUCACAUCUGCUUGCCUGACAUAUAUAAUCUGCCUGGAUGUCACAGUUUACAUCCUAUUUCCAUUGGAUGAUAAUGAAACUUGAUCAGCGUCUUCAUCUCCUUCUCUGUCUCUCCAAGAAAUAUUUCUGCUUGUCAGCUCCCCCUUACCAGGACUCUCUGGUGUGACCCUUAGCCAGUCCAUUAUUAAAGGGUAGUGCAUGCAAGGCUUGAAGGCAACUGUACAAUUUAUCAUCGUGCAAAAAUGUGUACAGAGAGCGCUACUUAAAGACAGUAAGGAAAUAGAAAUUAAAAGUGAUAUAGUGCAAUUUCCUAACCUGAAUUUUCUGUAGUUCCUUUUCUCUCACAAAGGUCUGGCAUAUCACUAUUUUAGCAGCAAUAAGUCAGUAGUUGCUUUCUGAAGACUUAUGUUUGUGCUGAAGUCUUAUGAAACUGAACUGUAGGCACCUCAGUAAUUUUAGAACAGCUUAGUCUGAGAGGUAAAUUAAAAUUAGGGAAAAUUAGACCAUUUCUAAUGAGAUGGUUGUUACACUGAAUAAUGAUGAUUAUUGCUUCUGCUUAAUAAAACUGUCAGCCAGUGCAAAAUAUAUAUUAAGGGAAAUUACAUUACAUUAUAUUUCGAUCAACUCAGAAAUUCGGUGUGUUGCUUUUCCAAAAACCAUGGAAAUAAUGAAAUGUUAGACAGAGCUUCCUUUUCCAAAUAGGAUCAAACACGGAGCUUUCAGAAACAGCCCUUUAAAGCCCUGAUUUAAAGCCCAUUAAAUCUAAUGUUGUGAAGAUUUCUGCUGACUUCUGUGCCAUGUAGAUCAGGACUUCACUAAAAUGAGCAGUGUCCCCCCUGCUGUCUCUACUAAAUACCUAGACAACACUGCAUGGUGAAUGCACACUGAGCUCAAUGCUUGCUGGCAUACCUGCUUUUCUGUUCUGAUUUACCUGGCAAAUUAGGAGAUGGACUGCAUUGGGUGAGACACACUGUUAUUCUCAAAGUAAAACAAAGAGAAAUAUUACCUGUUAUUUAUCUGAAAAUUAAACCCUGCUGUAGAAACCUUGGUGGUGAAGCCCCAGGCAUUAGAGGUGAGGGACCUCCCCAGAAGCCUGUGCAGAGACAUGAAUGACCAGGAAAGUGUUCAGCAUCUUUUUGUUUAAAAAUCAAACCCUACCUUCAGGAAGAGCUGCUGUCCUGAGGAAUGAGAGCUGGGGUGGCUCUCUCUUCUAUGCUGGGAGUUUACAUGACAGUAAAAUGCCAAAUGAGCAAAAAGAAGGGAGGUGGGAAGUGAAGAGUGCAUUCCUGCUACCACCCCUUCUCUCUGUAGGCUUCAAUCUAAAAGGAUAUGUUUUUGUGGAAUAAUUUUAUAUAAACCAAGCCACAUUUUUCUUACAGAAAAGUGUUUAUUGCAUCUGCAGUAGCAGUGAAUUUUGCAAAUUCCGAGAGAGAUUAAAUAAGCAGCAAAAACUUCAUGACUCAAUACACACCUAUGCCAACUGAGCCAGUGAACCAGGGCACAGAGGUGAGUGAGUCUUUCUGUGGUGCAUGUUAAAACCUCGAGAAACAGAGAUUUACCAUAUAAUUUCAUUUUUUGAGAGCACUAUUCCUCAUGCAAAGAGCAAUGUAUUAUCUUAAACGAGGAUGAUAAUGUGAUUAAUAAGUCACAGCACAUGUGUUUCUCAGGUUUUCAUCAUGCUUUGAAACGUUUACUAAUCAACAAGAUUUCACUUUUUAUGAAGCCCAUUUUGUAGAGUUCCAUAAAACAGGUUCAACAGUCACAAUUUCAUUAGCAUUAUAUGGUUGCCAUGGUAAUGUGGUACCAAUUCAAUUGAUGGGCUUUUCAUCCUGGGCUUAUAGAAUUGCUCUUCCUGUCAAAAAUACAUCUAUAUAGAAACAGCAAACAGACCUUACCACUGGAGUACAAGCACAAAUAUCACAUGCUAAUUUGGCUAGGAAUGUAUCAUGUUACUGGCAGCAGACCCAAAAAUCAUCAGAGACAUGGUAGAAGUUACUAAGCACUAUACAUGGCAAAGUCACACUUCAAAAUUAGGAAAGUUACAUUAUUUGCUGCAGUAUCUGAAUGUGUUAUUGCAAAAGCACUUGGCUCUAUUGUGAUCAUUCUCUGAAAUCCUCUUAGGAGGGCACAGUGCAACUGGGAAUAUUGGAGGACACAAAAGCAGUAACACACUAAAGAAUAAAAUGUGAGCUGCAGGUGUGUUGGUCCUCCUCCCGUUCACUUGUUCUGCAGCUUGUUCUGGGCUAAUUGCUGCCAAAUGCAACACCUUGAUUCUCUGGUCUGUAAAACUGGGAUAAUGCCCCCUCUGCCCCUGUGCAGAGUACCUGGUGUAUACCAAACAGGGAGUGAUGGCUGGUACUGCUAAACACUGUCGUUAAGUAAAGUAGAAAUGCUUUUAACAGCUCUGGGAAAAUGCACUGCACAGAUCUACAAUCUGAGAAAUGUCACUGGGAGGAUCUGGACUCACCCAGGGAAAUGCAGAAGAGAUGACACACUGAGCAGCCCUGCAGCCUAAAUUUCCCGGACUAGUCCACCUUGCUCCCUUCCUUCCUUGCCAAAUGACUCAUGGAAAGCUGUCUAUGGAGACAAUCUAACAUCAGCAUCUUUCUGGAGGUGCAGCUACAAGGUGAGCCUUGGACUCUGCCUGCAGUCUGUGCUUCCAGACGACAGCCCCACGGUGGCAGAUGGAGGGACAUGCCAGGCACUGCUCCCAGAGCUGCCACACGCCAUGGGACCCCCAGCUGCUGGAUCCUGACCCAGCUGACUGCUGCUGGAGAUGUGUUGGGGCUGGUUUGGCCCUGCUUGCUGCUGCCAGCCUGCCUCAUUGUUCUGAGUUAUGCCCCAGCCCGCUCCUGUCCUGUUGUGCUGGGGCCUCGGGGCUGUGUUGAGUUUUCAAUUAUCACAAUAUACAGUGCAGAUGCUAUGCAAACCAGCCAGUGAGGCUGAGCACGCUGAACUCAGUAGAAACACAGCUAAAUAAAAGUACUGCUAUAAUACCAGGAGGCUGAUUGGAACCACAAGAUACCAGUGCCAUAUCCUGUGGCUUUUAUGUUGGUAGACGUAGAGUUCAGCCAUUAGAGUCUAGCUAUCCAACAGAUAACAGCUACAGGAAACGGAUCUGGGCAUCUUCACUUGUAACUGAUGCACACUUGCCAAUAAAUGCAGAACCUGGUAAACUGCAGAAGGAUUAAAACAUUUGAGACACCUACAAAUAUAUUAUGGGGUAGCACCUAACUGUGAGCAACUUAAACUCCCUGAACACAAAGCAUAUUUAAAGUGGUACAUCAAGAGAGCUCUGUGUGUGGUUACUUGUCAACUCCAAAUUGAGGCAAAGAAAUAAACAGCAAGUGUAGGUCUCAACUUCUCUAUUUGUACAUGCAGUAACAAACCCAGGUGAUAAUGAUAUUGUGAUAUCUAUGUGGGGGGUAAAAGACUAUGACAAAAGAGGAAGAAAUAAGCAAAAAAUACAAUAAUGUCAAUUUUUCCUGUUACUAACUGCUAGAAAAGCUCAACAGCUGGAAUUUUAAAAUGUUUUAUGUAGACAAAUGUAAAGAGAACAACACGUUAAAUGUGUUUUUUCCAAAGAAAAAUGAAAUAAUCAUACAGAGAAAAUUAUUAUAUUUAGUACGCUCAGGGCAAAUUCUAGUUUAGGACUGUGAAAUAAUUUGAAAUUUCAAAUUGAAAUUUGAAAAUAUUAAUGAUUUAGCCUCACAGCUAGUUUUCAGGGAGAUAAUAACAAUAAUUAUUACUAUAAAAUAGUAUUAAUAUCAUUCUUGUUCAGAAGAAUGGACUAUUGAUGCAUAGAGAAUUCUGUAUUUGUCCAAAGUCAUUUAGUAAUGUCCAAAGUGUUUUAGUAAUGUAACCAUCCUUCUCAAGAACUACUAUAUAUUAGGAUUAUCCUUUCCCAAAUACUCUUUGAUAUACUCUUCAGUUCAUCAGUUCUAAAAAACCAACCAACCAAGCUUCCUUGUGAGACAGUGCCAGUGAAUAUCUCCAUUUGCAUGUGAAUUCUCAAGCAGCAACAGUCCUGCCUAAAAAAAUAGAAAAGACGCAGCAGAAGAAGAGGAAUCAUGAAAAUCAGUACAAAAUCUGUCAAGGCCCCAUCUGCAACUGGGUAUCAGAAUAUCACUAAGAAGCUCUGAGGAAAACAGUUCAUUCCAAGUCUAACACAGUGCAUUUUGGUAGAUGAAAUUAAUUCAAGCAGGGAGAAAUGAGAGCACAUAACACGAAAACUCUGUUCCUCCACUGAGGAUCAGGGAAGCAUCACUGUGUGUAGUCUUGGUUUUGGUACACAAAGCCAUGCUUAAACACUAAAAUAAUCAGUGUGCUCAUGUCUUGUUAUGAUAACCAGAUGCUCCUCUGAGGAGUGCCAGGGAAUGAGGGACCUCUGUUCCUGACAUGAGGACUUAGAUUACCUAUGAUUGCAAAAAGCAAGAUUUACAGCCAGCUACCUGAAGUAGUAUGGAAAUAAAAUUACAGUCUCCACCCUGGCCUUGAAAAAUCCCUCUACAAGCAUGCUUAUUUCCUUCUGAAUGGGAAUAUAUAAAGGCUGGGGACACUUAUUUGUAAGCUAUUUUUAUAUCUCCUCUUCAGGAUCUGAAUCUUGCAUAUUAAUGAACUACAGGAAACAGGAAAACCAAACACUAACACCAUUCUAAUGCAGCACACUAUUUUUCUUUCCCUUUUUUAAACUGUUAGAGUAUGCAAAUGUUCAGUUAACUGGUCCUCAUGUUUUCUCUUUAUUGAAUUGCUUUCACUAUGGCAAAUAAAUAUUCAUAAAGAAAUGUGGACAAUAAAUCAUUUCAAAUAGUUCAAAGCCAUUUUCUUUCUAGACUGCAUAUAUUUUCAGCUGUAACUCGCCUUUAAUAUUUCAUUCAAAAGACAGACUUGUAGAAGGACAAUAGAGAUAAUGUGUCAAGUAGUAAUUAAAACAGGGAGUAAUGAUUAAAACCAUUUUGAUCUA